rnacentral:rRNA from 1 species
CAACGCUGGCGGCGUGCUUAACACAUGCAAGUCGAACGGAAAGGCCCUUCGGGGUACUCGAGUGGCGAACGGGUGAGUAACACGUGGGUGAUCUGCCCUGCACUUUGGGAUAAGCCUGGGAAACUGGGUCUAAUACCGAAUAUGACCAUGCACUUCCUGGUGUGUGGUGGAAAGCUUUUGCGGUGUGGGAUGGGCCCGCGGCCUAUCAGCUUGUUGGUGGGGUAAUGGCCUACCAAGGCGACGACGGGUAGCCGGCCUGAGAGGGUGACCGGCCACACUGGGACUGAGAUACGGCCCAGACUCCUACGGGAGGCAGCAGUGGGGAAUAUUGCACAAUGGGCGCAAGCCUGAUGCACCGACGCCGCGUGAGGGAUGACGGCCUUCGGGUUGUAAACCUCUUUCAAUAGGGACGAAACGCAAGUGACGGUACCUAUAGAAGAAGGACCGGCCAACUACGUGCCAGCAGCCGCGGUAAUACAC